rnacentral:rRNA from 1 species
AUUGAACGCUGGCGGCAGGCCUAACACAUGCAAGUCGAGCGGAUGAAGGGAGCUUGCUCCCUGAUUUAGCGGCGGACGGGUGAGUAAUGCCUAGGAAUCUGCCUGGUAGUGGGGGACGACGUUUCGAAAGGAACGCUAAUACCGCAUACGUCCUACGGGAGAAAGUGGGGGAUCUUCGGACCUCACGCUAUCAGAUGAGCCUAGGUCGGAUUAGCUAGUUGGAGAGGUAAAGGCUCACCAAGGCGACGAUCCGUAACUGGUCUGAGAGGAUGAUCAGUCACACUGGAACUGAGACACGGUCCAGACUCCUACGGGAGGCAACAGUGGGGAAUAUUGGACAAUGGGCGAAAGCCUGAUCCAGCCAUGCCGCGUGUGUGAAGAAGGUCUUCGGAUUGUAAAGCACUUUAAGUUGGGAGGAAGGGCAGUAAGUUAAUACCUUGCUGUUUUGACGUUACCAACAGAAUAAGCACCGGCUAACUUCGUGCCAGCCGCCGCAGUAAGAC